UACGAAGGGGGCUAGCGUUGCUCGGAAUCACUGGGCGUAAAGCGCACGUAGGCGGAUCGCUAAGUCAGGGGUGAAAUCCUGGAGCUCAACUCCAGAACUGCCUUUGAUACUGGCAAUCUCGAGUCCGGGAGAGGUGAGUGGAACUGCGAGUGUAGAGGUGAAAUUCGUAGAUAUUCGCAAGAACACCAGUGGCGAAGGCGACUCACUGGCCCGGUACUGACGCUGAGGUGCGAAAGCGUGGGGAGCAAACAGG
rnacentral:rRNA from 1 species